GAUGAACGCUGGCGGUAUGCUUAACACAUGCAAGUCGAACGGUCACUUCGGUGAUAGUGGCGGACGGGUGAGUAACGCGUGAGAAUCUGUCUUCAGGUCUGGGACAACAGUUAGAAAUGACUGCUAAUACCGGAUGUGCCUUUGGGUGAAAGAUUUAUUGGUUGAAAAAGAGGUCGAGUCAGAUUAGCUAGUAGGUGGUGUAAGAGACUACCUAGGUUCCGAUUUGUAGCUGGUCUGAGAGGACGAUCAGCCACACUGGAACUGAGACACGGUCCAGACUCCUACACACAUGCUCAAUAUCUAAUUUUCCCACAUCAACGAAAGCCUGACGGACCAAUACCGCGUGAGGGAAGAAGGCUUUUGGGUCAUAAACCUCUUUUCUCAACGACUAUUAUAACAAUCCUUUAAAAAUAACCAUCGGCUAACUCUCUG
rnacentral:rRNA from 1 species